CCGAAUAGGGGAGCCGGAGGGAAACCGAGUCUUAAUUGGGCGUUAAGUUGCAGGGUAUAGACCCGAAACCCGGUGAUCUAGCCAUGGGCAGGUUGAAGGUUGGGUAACACUAACUGGAGGACCGAACCGACUAAUGUUGAAAAAUUAGCGGAUGACCUGUGGCUGGGGGUGAAAGGCCAAUCAAACCGGGAGAUAGCUGGUUCUCCCCGAAAGCUAUUUAGGUAGCGCCUCGUGAAUUCAUCUCCGGGGGUAGAGCACUGUUUCGGCUAGGGGGCCAUCCCGGCUUACCAACCCGAUGCAAACUGCGAAUACCGGAGAAUGUUAUCACGGGAGACACACGGCGGGUGCUAACGUCCGUCGUGAAGAGGGAAACAACCCAGACCGCCAGCUAAGGUCCCAAAGUCAUGGUUAAGUGGGAAACGAUGUGGGAAGGCCCAGACAGCCAGGAUGUUGGCUUAGAAGCAGCCAUCAUUUAAAGAAAGCGUAAUAGCUCACUGGUCGAGUCGGCCUGCGCGGAAGAUGUAACGGGGCUAAACCAUGCACCGAAGCUGCGGCAGCGAACGUAUCACUUAAAGCGAUUCAGCGGGUUACGAUUGACGGAGCGAAGCGACGUCAAAGCGUAUACAAAGUCGAGUCGGUUUAAGGA
rnacentral:rRNA from 1 species